rnacentral:rRNA from 1 species
AGAGUUUGAUCAUGGCUCAGGACGAACGCUGGCGGCGUGCCUAACACAUGCAAGUCGAACGAGGUUCAUCUGGUGGCAACACCAGAGAAGACCGAGUGGCGAACGGGUGAGUAACACGUGAGCAACCUGUCCCGAAGACUGGGAUAACACCGGGAAACCGGUGCUAAUACCGGAUACCCCCACCGGGUCGCAUGGCCGGGUGAGGAAAAGGACUUCUGCUUCGGGAGGGGCUCGCGGCCUAUCAGCUAGAUGGUGGGGUAACGGCCUACCAUGGCGUCGACGGGUAGCUGGUCUGAGAGGACGAUCAGCCACACUGGGACUGAGACACGGCCCAGACUCCUACGGGAGGCAGCAGUGGGGAAUCUUGCGCAAUGGGCGAAAGCCUGACGCAGCAACGCCGCGUGGGGGACGAAGGCCUUCUGGGUUGUGAACUCCUUUCAGCAGGGACGAUCGUGACGGUACCUGCAGAAGAAGCCCCGGCCAACUACGUGCCAGCAGCCGCGGUAAUACGUAGGGGGGCGAGCGUUGUCCGGAUUCAUUGGGCGUAAAGAGCUCGUAGGCGGCUUGGCAAGUCAAGUGUGAAAUCUCCAGGCUCAACCUGGAGUCGCCACUCGAUACUGCCAUGGCUAGAGUCCGGUAGGGGACCAUGGAAUUCCUGGUGUAGCGGUGAAAUGCGCAGAUAUCAGGAGGAACACCAGUGGCGAAGGCGGUGGUCUGGGCCGGUACUGACGCUGAGGAGCGAAAGCGUGGGGAGCGAACAGGAUUAGAUACCCUGGUAGUCCACGCCGUAAACGUUGGGCACUAGGUGUGGGGUCCUAUCGACGGAUUCCGUGCCGUAGCUAACGCAUUAAGUGCCCCGCCUGGGGAGUACGGCCGCAAGGCUAAACUCAAAGGAAUUGACGGGGG